CCUAGUAAAAAAGCUAGAAUUACAACAUAAGACCAGAAGACCCUGUGAAGCUUAAAUAAAACUAUUAAACCACAUAAUAACUACUUUCGGUUGGGGCGACCUUGGAAAAAAAGAGAACUUCCAAAUAAAUGACUAUACCUCAUUAUCCAAAUUAGGCCAACAAGCCAAAAAUGACCCAGCACAGCUGAUAAUUGAACCAAGUUACUCCAGGGAUAACAGCGCAAUCUUCUUCAAGAGCCCAUAUCAAAAAGAAGGUUUACGACCUCGAUGUUGGAUCAGGACAUCCUAAUGGUGCAGCCGCUAUUAAGGGUUCGUUUGUUCAACGAUUAAUA
rnacentral:rRNA from 1 species